GCGAUCGUAGUCUAGCCUGGUAGGACGUUGCCUUGCCAAGGCAGAGGCCCGGGUUCAAAUCCCGGCGGUCGCAC
rnacentral:tRNA from 1 species